CGGGGAGCAGCAGCACAAAGCUUAUAUAAAAAAAAAAAAAGCGAAGACGACAAAUCCACUCCGAAGGGCGCGCCGGGCUGGAGGCACGGCGGACGCUUUUCCAGAACCCGCCCCGUCCGGGGUUCUUCUGAACAGACCCCGAUCGAUCGGGUCCCCGCUGGCCAAACGCUCCGAACAGCAGGACUUAAGAGGGGGGGCCGGCCGCGCUCCCCCCUCGGCGGCCGGCGGAGGGCGUUAUUAAUCAGCACGCCGCGGCCUCCCUCCAGCCUCCCGCGGAUCCCGUAAUUACGGCUUCCUUUCAUCCCGCUCUUCCGCGGCUCCAGACCUCAGGCCCGCUCCCUCCAUGCUCUGUAAUUACAAGCUAAUAGCUGAGAUGAAUUUUCUGCUGGCUCCCGGUUCAAGCACCAAUCCGCCCCUUCCCCUGACAGCCCCCCUCCCCCCCGGGUAAUUACACCCCACGAGGCCGGGCCCAGCAGGGCCUCACUUUCAGGCCGGCGUGUGCAAUCUGGACUUGCAUUCUCUAAUCACCCCUCUUGGUAAUUUUUCAUUACCGCAGAAAGAAAUGUUUGUGAACAAAUACAGGGCGUCCCCCGGCUCGGGGCCUCCGCGCCGCCGCCCCCCGAAAGGGGCGAUGCUCCGGCAGCCCUAACAAGGCCGGGGUCACCCGAGCAGAGACCCGGGCAGGCGGCGGCGGUGCGGGGCGCCACGUGAUCCCCGGAGCCGGAGCGGCCUCAUAAUAAAUUCAUAAUUAUAUUUGCCUCCGGCGUGUUCUGAGCUCACUUGCACGAAGCCGUCUUUCUCGGGGGUGGGGGCGGGGCGAGUCGGGAAGGUCUUUGCUCCGGGAUGCCCGGGGUGGCCUGCUUUAGGCCUGGGUGUUCUCUUUCAAGGAAGGUGACACCCCCUCGGGCUGUAGCUUUCUAAGGGGAUGGGGGCCUUUGCUUGCCCCCAGAGAGACCCAGACCUGGAUGUAUCCCCAAGGCCCAGGCCCCAGGGACCAGCAAGCCGAGCCAAGGCCAUUGCUAAUUGCUGGCGCUGGGGACGGCCCGAGCAGAUGGCCUGGAUCCUGACCCGGAACCAGAGAGAAGGACCAAGGGGGAGAGGGGGGAGGGAGGGAGGCAGCCUGUGUGUCCGGAGGAGACCCCGGCCCAGGAGUAACACGAGGAACAAGGCUGCCAUCCCGCCCCGGGCAGCCUGUCACUCAGCGGCAUUCGUUAAAUUGCUUGCGAAGGCGCAAGGCAGGAGCUUACAAGCUGCAGAAAGCCUCCGCCAGGACCCCUGUCAGUGAGAACAGAAGCCCACCCCAGAGCCAGCACCGCUCAUGUCUGGGGUCACUGGGCAGCCACGGAGAUCGGGCUCAGCAGCUGCAGCCAAGUGGGGACGAUGAGGGGCUGGUGACAUUUAGGGGCCUCGCCAGCCCUGCGUGCUGUCAGGUUAGGGACCGGGGGGGGGGCGUGUGUUAGGGACUGUGUGUGUGCGCGCGCGCGCGCGCGUCAGGAGGGUGAAUCCAGGCUCCAGGAUGAAGCAUGUUCAGGAGACACCCCUAGACGCAUGUGACACUCAGAUCGUGUGCCAGGAAAACCCGGGCAGAGCUCCCCAGUGGGCAGAACCUGCGGGGCCGAGGCCGCAGCUGCUCAUGGGCAGGGCUCCCGCAUGGAGAGCUCAGCGGUGGGGAUCGGGGCAGACAGAAGCCUCCAAGGACAAUCCAGGGGUUGGGGUUCAAGGCCACAGACGACUGGGAGACCCGGACAUGCCGGUGGAGGCAAAGGACGAAGUCAGGCAACAGAUGGUCGUGACAUUUGACGGCGAUUAUUCUAAGCGGGUGCUGCGUCUGGAGAAGCCCGGGACGGGCAGAUGAAGGGCUGGCAGCAGCCAGGGGGUGGCGGGGCCGGCCCGGGAGGGGUGUGGAGUGGGAGAGGCAGAAACCCAGUGCACAAUUCAGACAAAAAAGGCUGAGAGACAGGAUCAGGGCGGAGCCCAGGACCCUCGGAGGUGGUCCUGAACCACAGUGUCAGCAGUAACAGUCACAGCGCCUGGCCCUGCCCAGUGCGGCUCGGUCACCCUUCACGAUAAUCCAGGACCAGACCCCAAGCAGAGAGGUCAGCCAAGGGCCUCCUACACGGCCCAGCCCCUACCCCCACUCCACAGAUGGGUAAACCGAGGCUGGAACAGAGUCACACUGAGCCUGGGGUGGCAUGCUGAGAUGCCGAGGAGCCGGGCACGCGUGACCCCGGUUUUCCGAGCUGCUCUAUGGACAAUUUCCCUUUAAACGACAAAAUGCUGGACACAACCCCUCUUAGGGGUCCCCUCCUCUCCUGCAGGCCGCCGCAAGCACCCGCCACACGCUGCACCACCUUCCAGAUGAUCUGGGACGGGCCCCCCACCCCCGAAUCCCACAUUCCAACAGCUCUGGGCUGGAGGGUGCCCAGGCCACAACCCCGGGAGCGACCCCUUUAUGUGCCCGAGGCCCCUGAGCCCACCAGGCCACCCAGCCCCACCUCGCCCACGAAGCAGCCCUUUGAGUAGGGCCUGGAGGCCCGGGGUGCAGGACGUGGGUGGGGGUCCGAGGUGUCCGGGACAGAGGUCCCGAAGGACAGGAACCCGACCUGGCGAGGAGGCAGCCACUAAAUGCCUCCAAGUUUCCAUGGAGCGGGAGGCCAGGGCCAGCAGGCAGGAAGAGAGGCCAGGGGGGCAGGGGUCAAGGGCAGGUCCUUUCUCCGAAGGGAGGAAGCCUGCAUGGGAGACCAGACUUUGAGGGGCAGGGAGAAGAGGAAGCAAAGGCCCCCGCUGGACGGGGCUUGACCAACCUGGGCCCAGGAAUGCAGGCAUUUCAAUGGCUUCCGCCCGACCCCUCGGGUGAACAGAGGUUCCAGAGACUGUCAGAGCACCUGUCCCUUCAGUCCUGAGACGGUGCUGACAAGAGUCUGUGCAGAGCGGGCACCUUCACCUGCAUCCCCAGCCCCCAGGGCACUGAGGAGGUCCUCAGCCUGCAGAACAAGUACAGACACCAGCUGCAUCUUGGCAGGUGCAGAGCCAGCCAGACUGCACCCUGCUCUGGCGGACUGGGAACUUGAGAGUCCACGUGGCAGGACCACCAGGGCUUACGCCAAGGAACUGCAUCCUUGGUAGGGAAACAGCUGGAAGAUGGGGAUGCUGGCCUGGCCCCCCCCAAGCUUCCAGUGGGGUCCUGUCAGGUCACCAUGUGGUCUGAGCCUCAGUUUCCCCAUCAGCACCCCCGGGAGGGGUGGGGUUCUAAGUAGCCCCCUUUCAUCCGUCAACCUGUUUUGGUUUUCGUUUUUGGUUUCUUUAGGUCCACACCCACGGCAUAUGGAGGUUCCCAGGCUAGGGGUCGAAUCACAGCUGUAGCCACCGGCCUACACCAUAGCUCACGACAAUGCCAGAUCCUCAACCCACUGAGUGAGGCCAGGGAUCGAAUCCGCUGCUAGUCGGGUUUGUUAACUGCUGAGCCACGACAGGAAUUCCUGUUUUUUUUUUUUUUUUUUUCAAUGGCCACACUCACAGCAUAUGGAAGUUCCCAGGCCACGAACUGAACCCCCGCCUCCGCAGUGACCCGAGCUGCCUCAGCAGGAUUCUUAACCCAAACUGCACGACGGCGAGAACUCACCAACCUGCUUUUACUGGGCCUGCAGUUGCGAUAUCUUUAUUUAUCUAUUUACAUUAAAAUAUGCUGCACCUGCAGCCUAUGGAGAUUCCCAGGCUAGUGGCUGAAUCAGAGCUGCAGCUGCCGGCCUCUGCCACAGCCACAGCCACACCAAAUCUGAGCCACAGCUGCGACCAACACCACAGCUCACCACAAUGUCGCAUCUUUAACCCACCGAGGGAAGUGAGAGAUCGAACCCACGUCCUCGUGGAUACCAGUCGGAUUUGUAACCCGCUGAGCCACACCGGGAACUCCGAGAUAUGUUUAAAAGUGAAUCCAUGGACAGUGUCUUAGAAUGGGAGGUUUCAAGUCAAAAUGAAGAUUUCUAGUUUCUCUUGAAAAAUCAGGAGCCACCAAACCCAAGAGUGGCAACUGUCCCUUAGUCUGUCCAGCUCAGCAGCAUCCCCACCCCUCCCUACCGUCUCAGGCUGGUCAGCCUGCGCGAUGCCCGGAGACCUCGCCAGCUCUGAAACGAUGCGGGUUUGGGCGACAAACAGCGUCUACGGGGGCUUAAUAAAUGUAUGCGACCAGGACACUCGGCUCGGGUGUCAGCAAACAUCUUCGUUUAUCCAGCUUCAACAGAGACAGGUGGACCCUCCCCCUUCAGCUUGGGGGUGAGGGGCAGCCAGGAGGGAGGCCCCGAUACACGGCGGGUGGGCCCCACUCGAGUCAAAGGCAAGACUUGCCUCGAAUUAUAAAAUGGUUUUCGCUUCUGCAAAAAAGGCCCAUUCUCAUGAUGGUUCAAAGUCACAGACCAGACCGUCUCUCCAAGGAAACACACGCACUGAAUUGUGCAUGGAGUUGGACCAAGCUCACAAAAGCCUACCUGUAAACCCCGUGGAUCCAGAUGCGGGUACAGAGGUACGUGGCGUCUACAGACCCUGCAGCACACAACCCUCUAUAAAGCCAAGCCCGGGCACUGACACACCUCCCCAGCACUUCCAUCCGGGCCAAGAGGCUAUGGAGGAGCAAAGAUACGAAGCUCUUAUGGAGUUUCCAUGGUCUAAAUUCUUUUUUUUUUUUAAGUCUUUGGGGCCACACGUGUGGCACAUGGACGUUCCCGGGGCUGGGGUCAAAUCGGACCUGCAGCUACUGGCCUACACCACAGCCACAGAAACUCAGGAUCCGAGCCUCGUCUGUGACCUACACUGCAGCUCAAAGCAGCACCAGAUCCUUAACCCACUGAGCGACACCAGGGAUUGAACCCACAUCCUCAUGGAUACUACUCAGGUUUGGAACCCGCUGGGCCACAAGGGGGACUCCUCCAAGAUCUAAGUUCUAAUGGUAUUUCCUCACUCAGGCUCCUCUACCAUCUUCAAAGCCCUAUGUACCAUGCC
rnacentral:lncRNA from 1 species